UGUGUGCUAGAUUUUGGCAGUUCUUGGAGGCAGCACCUAUUGACUCGCGGUUGUCGAAGCCGGUCAAAAAUAAGCUUUCUGGUUAUCAAUAAUUUACAACUGCAGAUAGUGGUGAAAGGAUCGAAUCCACAGGGAAUUGAGAACCCACCUAUUUCUCUUUUUAUGACCAAGAAAAUAAACUGAAACAAUUAUAAAUUAAAAAUGAGAUAAAAGACUGAAAGUAGGGUCAAACGAGAUAAACUGAAAAUUGGGAUCAAAACUGUCAACAAAAUAACAAGGGGUUUGAGAUUGAUUGUAGUAAAC
rnacentral:lncRNA from 1 species